UCGAGCGGAACGAUGGAGCUUGCUCCAGGCGUCGAGCGGCGGACGGGUGAGUAAUGCAUAGGAAUCUGCCCGGUAGUGGGGGAUAACCUGGGGAAACCCAGGCUAAUACCGCAUACGUCCUACGGGAGAAAGCAGGGGAUCUUCGGACCUUGCGCUAUCGGAUGAGCCUAUGUCGGAUUAGCUUGUUGGUGAGGUAAUGGCUCACCAAGGCGACGAUCCGUAGCUGGUCUGAGAGGAUGAUCAGCCACAUCGGGACUGAGACACGGCCCGAACUCCUACGGGAGGCAGCAGUGGGGAAUAUUGGACAAUGGGCGAAAGCCUGAUCCAGCCAUGCCGCGUGUGUGAAGAAGGCUUUCGGGUUGUAAAGCACUUUCAGUGAGGAAGAACGCCUCGGGGCCAAUACCCCCGAGGAAGGACAUCACUCACAGAAGAAGCACCGGCUAACUCCGUGCCAGCAGCCGCGGUAAUACGGAGGGUGCAAGCGUUAAUCGGAAUUACUGGGCGUAAAGCGCGCGUAGGUGGCUUGAUAAGCCGGUUGUGAAAGCCCCGGGCUCAACCUGGGAACGGCAUCCGGAACUGUCAGGCUAGAGUGCAGGAGAGGAAGGUAGAAUUCCCGGUGUAGCGGUGAAAUGCGUAGAGAUCGGGAGGAAUACCAGUGGCGAAGGCGGCCUUCUGGACUGACACUGACACUGAGGUGCGAAAGCGUGGGUAGCAAACAGGAUUAGAUACCCUGGUAGUCCACGCCGUAAACGAUGUCGACUAGCCGUUGGGGUCC
rnacentral:rRNA from 5 species